UACGGAGGAUGCGAGCGUUAUCCGGAUUUAUUGGGUUUAAAGGGUGCGUAGGCGGGCUGUUAAGUCAGCGGUCAAAUGUCGGGGCUCAACCCCAUCCAGCCGUUGAAACUGGGGAUCUAGAGUGUGCGAGAAGUAUGCGGAAUGCGCGGUGUAGCGGUGAAAUGCAUAGAUAUCGCGCAGAACUCCGAUUGCGAAGGCAGCAUGCCGGCUCCACACUGACGCUGAGGCACGAAAGCGUGGGUAUCGAACAGG
rnacentral:rRNA from 1 species